CUGGACAACCAUACAACCAUGUCCCGGCCAAUCAACGGAUUUGCAGUUGUGGAGGUGCGCUCCAGAGCAAAAAUUGAGAAAAUCCGAGCAAGUUUAUUUAAUAGCAGUGAUCUGAUUGGUUUGUCAAGUCUGGAUGGAGAAGAUGAGCUUAUGAAGAUGUCUACAGAGGAAAUACUGACAGUCUCCACAGUAAACCAGAGUUUGUUUGAUAUCUAGGGAAUUCCAGGUUUAGGAGAUUACUUCACUGAUAAAACCCUGAAAGGUGACAAGUUGGUCCCAGAAGCUCGAGAUGUUCUAAUAGAAAUAUUCAAAAGCUGCAUUCAUGCUGAACAAAUGCUCAGUCUGACUCCCGCCAAGUUCAUUAAGGUAUCUGAUAUUUAUUUGAGCAAAGAGCAGAUGAAUUCUCAGACACGAGGAAACCUUCUACAUACGUUCUUCACCAAUGUUCGCCCCCCCAAAGAAACUCCUGGAAGAUCAGCUUAC